rnacentral:rRNA from 1 species
GACGAACGCUGGCGGCGUGCUUAACACAUGCAAGUCGAACGGACAGACGAUGCGCUUGUGCGGUGCUCGAUUGGCGCACGGGUGAGUAACACGCGAGUAAACCGCACUUGUCUUUGGGAUAACUCCACGAAACUGGGGCUAAUAUCGGAUAGGAGCUACUGCUGCGCAGUGGGGGUUGGUAAGAUUCGGCGGUUGGGGAUGGUCUCGCGGCGUAUCAGCUUGUUGGUGAGGUAGUGGAUUACCAAGGCUAUGACGGGUAGCCGACCUGAGAGGGUGACCGGCCACACUCGAACGUAGACACGGUCAAGACGACUACAGGAGGGAGCAGUAGGGAAUCGUCCGCAAUGGGCGAAAGCCUGACGGAGCAACGCCGCGUGAGUGAUGAAGGUCUUCGGAUCGUAAAACUCUGUUAUUAGGGAAGAACAAAUGUGUAAGUAACUAUGCACGUCUUGACGGUACCUAAUCAGAAAGCCACGGCUAACUACGUG